GCCGUUAUAGCUCAGAAGGAGAGCAGAACCCGAAAGGGUGUCAGGCGCAGGUGCAAUUCCUGCUGACGGCU
rnacentral:tRNA from 2 species